AGCCGAUUCGUCCAAUGGCAGGACGCACGUCUGAUUAACGUGAAAUCACGGGUUCGAGUCCCUGAUUGGCUACCA
rnacentral:tRNA from 1 species